UCGGUAUAAGCAUCACCUUAUUUGGUAGAAAUGAGAGUGUAAAUAAAAGCAUUUGUCAGGGGCUAAAUAAAGAAUAAUUUCUACAACCUCCCACAACAAAAAUAAGAUAUCUGGUCACUAUUUACAUUUUCUCUUGUUUGCAUAAAAGUUUGUAAAUGUUCUUCUUAUUGAAAAAUCAAAUAAUAUUAUAGAUAAGGCUGAUAUAGUUCUUGGAGAGGCAUCGAGAAG